GCCCCGGUGGUGUAGUGGUAUGGCACGCGUCCUCGCUAUGGAUGAAACGCGGGUUCGAUUCUUGCCUGAGGCC